rnacentral:rRNA from 1 species
UAGGGGAUGAUGGAAUUCCUAGUGUAGAGGUGAAAUUCUUAGAUAUUAGGAGGAACACCGGUGGCGAAGGCGAUCAUCUGGGCUACAACUGACGCUGAUGCACGAAAGCGUGGGGAGCAAACAGGAUUAGAUACCCUGGUAGUCCACGCCGUAAACGAUGAGUGCUAGAUAUCGGAAGAUUCUCUUUCGGUUUCGCAGCUAACGCAUUAAGCACUCCGCCUGGGGAGUACGGUCGCAAGAUUAAAACUCAAAGGAAUUGACGGGGG